GACGAACGCUGGCGGCGUGCUUAACACAUGCAAGUCGAACGGAAAGGCCCCUUCGGGGGUACUCGAGUGGCGAACGGGUGCGUAACACGUGAGUAACCUGCCCUUGACUUCGGGAUAACUUCAGGAAACUGGGGCUAAUACCGGAUAGGAAUCCUUGCUGCAUGGUGGGGGUUGGAAAGCUUCGGCGGUUUUGGAUGGACUCGCGGCUUAUCAGCUUGUUGGUGGGGUAGUGGCUUACCAAGGCUUUGACGGGUAGCCGGCCUGAGAGGGCGACCGGCCACAUUGGGACUGAGAUACGGCCCAGACUCCUACGGGAGGCAGCAGUGGGGAAGAUUGCACAAUGGGCGGAAGCCUGAUGCAGCAACGCCGCGUGCGGGAUGACGGCCUUCGGGUUGUAAACCGCUUUCAGCAGGGGCGAAGCUUGUGGUGACGGUACCUGCAGAAGAAGCACCGGCUAACUACGUG
rnacentral:rRNA from 1 species